UCGUACAAAAACGCUAUAAAUAAGGACCUCCAGGGAUGAAGUAGGGAUCCGAAUUCUGCGCCGUUACUCUGGAAAAAUCACUCCAAAACCCUCAUUAAAAAGCUCCGUUUUGAACUUGUUGAGAUUUUCACACCGAAGCUCAACAAGCUCGAGCUAGACCCCUGCUAAACCAAAGCAAUCACUACAUCAGUAAUAAGCGAAGGAAAAGAAGAACGUCAGGGAGAGGAUCCCAGGAGAAGAAAAACAAAAAGAGACUGAAGAAGAUCGCUUACCCGAGGUACGUUCACGGAUACCGGACGUCCGUCAAAGUUGUGAAAUUUCAGCGAAUCCUCUUCUCGUCUCUUUGAUUGUUUUAGCAUCGUAACCUUUGUGUAGUUUUGUUGCCCAUGUUGUGAUUUGCUGAUCUUAUUGUUGUUUGUCAACGUGAGAAAUGGGUUAAGGAUCUAGGUAGACCUUCUUUGAGGUCAGAUUUGCUAUGUUUGCUAGAUCCAGUUGAAGUUUUAGAAGUCUGAAAGGAUUAGGAGCGUUUUUUUUGUGUUGGUCAUUUUUAAAACUUCAUGCGAUACUGAAACAGAUCGGUUGCCUCGCGAUUUCCUUGUUUUCUCUCUUCGUCUUUAGACUAGGAAUGGGGCGUGUUUAAGAAGGAGAAAGUUUUUUUUUCAGAAGAACAAAGGGUCAUUUUAAGAGAGAGGGAGACGGCUGGGCUAAUAAUGCUCACUGUGGCAUUCCCUUAGUUAUUAUUAUUAUUAUUCAUAGUAAAUGAUGAUGAUAAGUGCAUAUUAACCCACUUGCUUUUCCAAAGCUGAAUUUUUUUUUUUAUGUUCUAAACCCCAUUUUGAUAUAGUUCAUGGUCUUGGACUUUAAUGACGUGAUCAUAUGCUUAACUUUAAUCAAGUGAUCAUAGACUUAGAUUUCAUUUAGAAUGGGCUUAGGACAAGGUGAUGUAAGUGUAGAAAGUGGAAGUUUUACUUAUGAAUUACUAAUGAAUUGUAUUGAAAAAGUGAUACUAAAAAGACUUUAUUGACUAAGGUGAGUGUAGUUGAUGUAAGUGUGGUAAGUAUGUAAGGUUGAUAUAGUGUAGAGGUUGAAGAAGAUAAUGGAAUGUUAUUUGUAAGAUGACAUUUGAUUUAUGGAAGUGAAUAGAGACAUAUCCUGAACAAGUAAUUGUUUCCACAAUCCAUGUAGUGAUUGGACUAAUUUCCCACACUACCCCAAAGUUGAAUUUUUUUCCCGCAUUGCUUCAUUAUGAAUUUUUUUUCUAGAAUGCUCCAUUUUUUUAUUUGGGCUUGUCCAAUGAAUGGGCGAGAUGAUGAUGCGCUGCCAUUAAUGACUAGGCUCGGCCAUUGGUUGGCCGAGCUAAUGAAGGAGUUUUUCUUAAAUACUAUUAUAUAAUUAAAUAACUUUAUUAAAAUUAUUAUUAAAUAGUUUUUUAAUUAAUUUUAUUUAAAUAAUAAAAAUGAUUUGCUGUUAUUUAUCAUUACUAUAAAGUGAUUUUGAUAAAGUGAUUAUAAUGUUAUUUUGACGAAUCUGUUACAGUAGUGAUUAUAAUGUUUGAUUCGAUUGAAAUGGAAUAUGUGAUUAUAAUGUUAUUUUGAUGAAUCUGUUACAGUAGACUAAACUGAUUUUGAUAGAAAAAAUAAAUAGAGAUUACAUUGCAGUGUUUAUAAUGUCUAUAUUGUUUAUGCUGUGAUUAUGCCUUGUGUCAAUUUUAACCCGUCAAAAGGUACAUAACUUUAACUAAAAUCUACUCUUAAUCAUACAUUUAGGAUUAUGCCUUGUGUCAAUUUUUUUAUUUUUAAAUAAAAUAAAAUCGAAAAAUUUUUUAUUAUUAAUAGUAAUACGUCUACUCUUAAUCAUACAUUUAGGAUUAUGCCUUGUGUCAAUUUUUUUAUUUUUUAAAUAAAAUAAAAUCGAAAAUAUGUUUUUAUUAUUAAUAGUAAUUACGUUGAUUUCUUAAAUAUGAAUUUGCAAUAGAAAAUAUGUUUUUGUUAUACUCAUAUGCGUAAGAUAAUUAUUUGCAUCGGAAAAACUCAACAAAUAAAAAAUAUUACUGUCAUACCCCGAUUUUGUCCGAGGUUAUUUUUGAACUCUUGUUAUUUGUUUACAACCAUAAAGCAAUGCACACAUUCAAAGGCUUGAGAAUUUCACCAAAAAGAGGAGAGUAGUCCUUCUUGAUCAUCAUCUUAAUAACGAGGUUUUAUUAUACGCCAAGUCAUAAUUCUCAUGUCUCUUUAUAUUAUGGAUUUUGGUCAUAUUUCACUAAGGAGUCCAUAGUGCCCCAAAGGGUGACGCACGGUUUGGUUAUGAUGGUAUUUUCGUUUGUUUAUUGGUGAGUUUGUUAAUAAGCCAUUAGCAAGGAUGUGCAUCAUCAAAGUCCAUAUUUUAUUCAUCUUGAAAAAAAGUACCUGGAAUGCCUAUAUAUCACUUAGUGGCAUAUUAAACACCAUGUAGUUUGAAAGAAGGGUGCGCACGUACUAUUUAUUUAAAGUCUUUUGUCAUUUUUCUAAGAAUGAUGUAUAUAAAAAAAAAAACAGUUGAAUUGGAUGUAUAUCUCUCACAAGUCACAUUCGGCCAAUGGCCACAAGGAACUAGCAGUAGAUGACUUAGGUCAUGUGUGUUUUGGUUUACAUUAGGCACUGGUGUUUAAACGCUACCCCCUUAAAGAAGAAAAAUGCAGUCCUUUCCUAUUUAAAUUUCGUGACAAAAAUAAUUACAAUCCAUUGGUUCGACAAUACGAAACAAUUUUCUUUCGCGUGAAAAUUAUUGAAUUCCAUUGAUAAGGGGGCAUAAACUACAAGUUACACUGACAGGAUUCAUGAAUGACAGAGAGCCAUAGCCUAAGACAUAAACAUUACAAACCGACAAAAAUGCAUGACUAAAACAACUUGGUUGAUCGGCCACGAGAGUCUCAUGCUUUUCUCUUGGUUCAGGACAUUCCAAGGAAUCACCUAAGAACGAAACAGGAUUGUACUAGUUGAUGCAGAAUAGCAGGACACUUGUUCUUGAGAAAUUCCAAAAAUGUAUUUCUAUGCACAGGCUGACGCGGACUGGAACUCGGUCUCCUGGUAUUAAAACAUGGAUGACAGUUCUGACUACAAGAAAUUGUAUAGCACACAGCAGUUUGGAUGCUCAAACAAGACAGUAUUUUAAGUCAUUACAGGAUGCCGCAUCAGGAUGAGUUUUUACACUUACCGUCAUGUGAACCGCCGCUUCAUCGAAACAGAAGCCAAGACUUGAAUAUCAUGUAUCAAUGUUUCAUGUACCUGCGUUCACUAUCAAAUAGUCACAAGUGCCCAAGAUCACGGAACAGCUAGUGAAAUUACAAGCAUGUAAUAAUUUUUCGUGAGUUAAAUAUUCUAAGUAUGCUGCACCGUGUUAAACACCAUGUUACAUUACUGGAGUCAAGAAAGAUUAAAGUUUUGAAUAAAAGAGCAUCUAAUUGUUGAUCUUCAAUGACCGGUCCAUUCCCAUUAAGUUGUGCAUCCACCUGUACAAGACGUCUUAACCUGUCCAAAACCAACUCAAAACCUGUCAGAAAUUCACAAUAAAGGUUUGCCUACACUAACAGCGAAUGUAAACAGCAUUUGAGCAACAGUGUGCAAAAUAUGUGAUCGACAGUAUCAAAUAACAUGUGAAGCAACAGAGGAAGAUCAAUACAAACAGUCGGCAUCCUAGGGAAGUCGUGUGAUAUGGCAGAGACAUUUUCUGAGGACAAAGCUAUAAGCCAUGAAGACAUACUCAAUGACGACGUUGAUGAUAACUCAAUGCAUUAUUAAAGUAGCAGUUGGAAGGGGAAGUAGAUACUGUUUGUCGUUUUAAGCACUCUUAAGGAAGCCUUUACAGCUGUUGGUUACUCUUCUGAACCUGAAGCUCAUGACUACAUAAAAUCCCUCGUCUGAAAAUGCUCUUGAAGAUCCACCAGAUGCUAAGAAAGAAAUAAGCACCUAUGAGGGAGAUUUUAAGAGUAAGGAAGAUCAAUCUGAUAAAAUAUACAACAUGAUACAACAAUGUUAGGUGAUAAAGAUUUAGAAGACGAUCACCAGAAAACGAAAAUUGCAAAGUGAUGCUUCAGCAGACAAGAUACACUUGGCUUCUACGAACGGAUUUCCAGAAAACUCGACUUCAAAGGAGUAAGCAAUGAUUAAUCAUGAGAGUGGGCUCGACAACUGUGAUGAUCCCUGCGUUUCAAAAGCAAACCAAUGCAUUGAAAGGGUGCAAGUUCGUCACAUCCGUACCAAAACUGUCAUGACAUGGGCUACGUCGGUAAAAUCACCAAUACCUGUUGCAAAACAUAAACACUGUCACGAAAUUGAAAGGCCACACAUAAAAAACGAAACAAAAAUGCAAAUGGAAUUAUCAUGAAUAUUAAGGACCGUGCCAUUGAAUGCACCACCAGCAUGAAAUGCCUAAUGAGCAAUAUCUGCGAUAUAGCCAUGAAGCCAUGUUGAAUCAUUGGUAAGAGCAAAUUGCAAGAAAUCCACACCUGGUAUAAAAGAGCAUUCGACAUAACAUGAUUAGGAUGCAAACAGACGAAGAUCAAGUUAUUUCUUUUCAGGAAGUUUGUACACAAAAAGCAUACAAAGAAGGAUGCCGUUCAAUGUGAUGCAGAAGAAGAGGAACGAAAUUGAAAUUCCUUCAAUUGACGAGAAGGAUCUCUGUUAUUUAUUUUUAAGGUCCAACAUAGCUACUAGCCUUGUCAAGAUUUCUCACUUGCACCACCUGUGUCAUCAAUACCGCUGCCAACCAAAGCUGUUGCAGAACCACAUCACUAGCUAACAUCAACUGUCAUCAAACUAUCCCUUUAAACGGCAAGAAAUCUUGGCUGCAGAACCAAAGCUAACAGCAUAACAGCCACAUGCUACCCUUUAGCAAGCACGCCAUGACCUGCAAACACAGGAUCUAGUCGCAUCUUAACCGACUGUUAUGAAAGAGUUCAAAAACACCAAGUUAGAGUUCAAGGACAGCCAAAAAAAAGCAAUAAUACUGCAAGGAAGACAUAUGCAAACUUCAAAGCUACGUUCUGAAUGCAAGGUCCUCAAAUGACCGGAUAACACAAAAAAACCAAAUCAUGUCCACAGUCCAAGAAACAUCUUAUUAAAAUGGUCGGCAUGACGGCCAAAAGAGAGCAGGACGUUUGAAGGUGCUAAGCAGAGAAGUAAGUAUACCUGAUACCUCAAGGAAACGGAUUUGAUGCAUGGAAGGUAACCUUGCAGGGCAGAAAUUCCUCCCACCCGUCAUAAGACUUCCACGUUCUGAUAGUUAUCACUUUGCCAAAAGCACCGCAACUGCAACCAAAACAUACCAAGUUAGUGCGGUAAGAAGGCAAUCAACCUAUGAUGUGGAAAAUAACUGCAGUUGAUGAAAGUUUGUACUGGAUAGACGCAACUUUCGCAAGACAACAAGUCAUAAGCAUGAAACCACAAAUGAUAAGAAAGAGCGAAAUCAACAUAAUUUACAGUGGAUCCAAUCUGGGCAUAAGCAACACGUGACUGAAUUCUUUUCCCAUGAUAUGGAAACAACCUUGAUAACCAUUUCAGAAGUGUGAUGCACAAGUCAUCAUGAACCUGGUAGGAGGGAGUCAUAUUGUGACCUGCAACACAAAGGUAACAUUUCACCUUGAUCAAUCAAUCAGUAUGCACUGCCUUGCUUCCGUCCGAAUUACCAACCUGAAAUUGGCAAGCAAUGUGUAUCAAUCCAAAACAUGCAAUAAUCAGUCAAGCCAAAAUAACAUGAAGCUGCAACUAAAACCAUAAGCAAAGGUGAUGAAUAGCUAAGACACCGCACGGAAUCAACAGGAAAUGUCAUACCUGAAGAACAAUUCACAUCAAUAUGAGAAUUAGUGACAGCACACUGUGAUAGCAACAAAACCGACAUCCGCUAAGUAUUAUCUCAAGAUGAAUGCGUACCAGCUCAAAUUAACGGUCCUGUCACCAUCCAUAACCAAAUGGGACUAACAUUAGAGAGCCGUUGGAUGUAAGGAAUGAUUAAAGGUCAAGCAUCAGUUAAAAAUUCCAUUUUUACAGAAGAGUAAAUAAUUUGACAAGCAUGUGUUUUACAGCAGUAAAAACGCAGUGAAAAGUGAAAAAAGAUAGAUUCACUACAGACAAAAUCUUAUCUUUUCAUUUGAGGGACCACACCAAUUUGGAGCACCACCAACUCUGAGAAAAUCCUGCUGCCUAACGGAAUGAUUCUCCCACUAAUUUGACAGCUCAUGAAAGAGAGGAAAGAUUGAACCUCGUACAAAAACGCUAUAAAUAAGGACCUCCAGGGAUGAAGUAGGGAUCCGAAUUUCUGCGCCGUUACUCUGGAAAAAUCACUCCAAAACCCUCAUUAAAAAGCUCCGUUUUGAACUUGUUGAGAUUUUCACACCGAAGCUCAACAAGCUCGAGCUAGACCCCUGCUAAACCAAAGCAAUCACUACAUCAGUAAUAAGCGAAGGAAAAGAAGAACGUCAAGGGAGAGGAUCCCAAGGAGAAGAAACAAAAAGAGACUGAAGAAGAUCGCUUACCCGAGGUACGUUCACGGAUACCGGACGUCCGUCAAAGUUGUGAAAUUUCAGCGAAUCCUCUUCUCUGUCUCUUUGAUUGUUUUAGCAUCGUAACCUUUGUGUAGUUUUGUUGCCCAUGUUGUGAUUUGCUGAUCUUUUAUUGUUGUUUGUCAACGUGAGAAAUGGGUUAAN
rnacentral:lncRNA from 1 species